AGUGAACGCUGGCGGUAGGCCUAACACAUGCAAGUCGAACGGCAGCACAGUAAGAGCUUGCUCUUACGGGUGGCGAGUGGCGGACGGGUGAGGAAUACAUCGGAAUCUACUUUUUCGUGGGGGAUAACGUAGGGAAACUUACGCUAAUACCGCAUACGACCUACGGGUGAAAGCAGGAGAUCUUCGGACCUUGCGCGACUGAAUGAGCCGAUGUCGGAUUAGCUAGUUGGCGGGGUAAAGGCCCACCAAGGCGACGAUCCGUAGCUGGUCUGAGAGGAUGAUCAGCCACACUGGAACUGAGACACGGUCCAGACUCCUACGGGAGGCAGCAGUGGGGAAUAUUGGACAAUGGGCGCAAGCCUGAUCCAGCCAUACCGCGUGGGUGAAGAAGGCCUUCGGGUUGUAAAGCCCUUUUGUUGGGAAAGAAAAGCAGCAGGUUAAUACCCCGCUGUUCUGACGGUACCCAAAGAAUAAGCACCGGCUAACUUCGUG
rnacentral:rRNA from 1 species